GACAGAGGGUGCAAACGUUGUUCGGAAUUACUGGGCGUAAAGCGCGUGUAGGCGGCUAAGUAAGUCGGGCGUGAAAUCCCACGGCUCAACCGUGGAAGUGCACUCGAAACUGCAUAGCUAGAGUCCUGGAGAGGAAGGUGGAAUGCUUGGUGUAGAGGUGAAAUUCGUAGAUAUCAGGAGGAACACCGGUGGCGAAGGCGGUGGUCUGGGCCGGCACUGACGCUGAGGAGCGAAAGCGUGGGGAGCGAACAGG
rnacentral:rRNA from 1 species